GGCGGCUUAGCUCAGCUGGUUAGAGCGGGCGUUUCAUACGCGCUAGGUCCGGGGUUCGAAUCCCUGAGCCGCCA
rnacentral:tRNA from 1 species